GGACGUCGGCGCGGACGGCGCGGCGGUCGCCGGCGAUGAGGUCCCACACCGGGUACCCCUUCCUCGGCAUCAUGUAGUCCCUCUCCCCCAGCUUCAGCGUCGGGCAGUAGUCGCCCCUCCCGUCGCCCAGGUGAACCAGGUGAAGAGUGAGGUACGAAUUGUUAGGGUUACGAGUUUAUAUUCCAACAUGUUUCGACUGUAGAGUUGUUAUGGGGCUCCUACAUCUUCUACUUUCCGCUGCAAGAUUUCAUCUUCUUCUGAGUUAACCCACGAGGUUAUGCAAUAUGUAAGGUUCUGGAUCAUUGCGAUGUAAUAUAGUUUUGGACCUUUGUAUCUUGAUAUUACAUCUUGAAACUAUGUGUGCUAGCGAGUC